rnacentral:rRNA from 1 species
UACGUAGGGGGCAAGCGUUGUCCGGAAUUAUUGGGCGUAAAGAGCUCGUAGGCGGCCCGUCACGUCCGCUGUGAAAACCCAGGGCUCAACCCUGGGCUUGCAGUGGAUACGGGCAGACUAGAGGUAGGUAGGGGAGAAUGGAAUUCCCGGUGUAGCGGUGAAAUGCGCAGAUAUCGGGAGGAACACCAGUGGCGAAGGCGAGUCCCUGGACAACUUCUGACGCUGAGGCACGAAAGCUAGGGGAGCAAACAGG